UAUGUUCAUAUCACCUUGAUAAACCGGUCCCCGUACGAUCAAUGACAUUAAGCAAGGUCGAGCCUGGUCAGUAGCUAAAUGGGUGACCGCUUGGGAAUACCAGGUGCCGUAAG